UACAAUUUUCAAGCUUUAACUUACUAGUUUUAUCCUUACAAACACACACAUUUAUAUAUUUUAAAGUAUUCAUACAACUAUAAAAGAAUUGACUUGCACUGAAUCAUGGGCUGAUCUGUAGGACUUUAAGUCACUAAAUAACUGAUACAUAUCUUUGGUAUUAAAUAAAUAAUUUGAGGUAAGUAAAAAAUUAUAAACAUAAUUGUCAUUUUGAAUGACUUAAAUUGAUUAAAAUUACAAUUCACUAACUUAAUAUAGUUUACACCAAAAUAGUUGUUGCUCAAAUGAUUAAUGAUAUAAUAAGUCUCCUCUACCAUGGGUAAUAUCCCAGCCUCCCUCAUGAGUCCUGGUAUUAGGCGAAAGGCCUCAUUGACACUGGAUAUAACUGAUAUAAUAAGUCUCCUCGACCAACUCUACCAUGUGGGUAAUAUCCCAGCCUCCCUCAUGAGUCCUGGUAUUAGGCGAAAGGCCUCAUUGACACUGGAUAAAACUGAUAUAAUAAGUCUCCUCGACCAACUCUACCAUGUGGGUAAUAUCCCAGCCUCCCUCAUGAGUCCUGGUAUUAGGCGAAAGGCCUCAUUGACACUGGAUAUAACUGAUAUAAUAAGUUUAACAUUAUAUUCUUUCACUCGUAAGAAUUAAAGCUUUUGUAUUAGAGAAUGUUGGUACAGGGACUCCAACUUGGACAUUUACCCUAGGGGUUAUCAGUAACAAACCUCCCCAGACAGAUGCAGAGAAUGUAGGUACAGGGAAAGAAAUCUCAAUAACAUUUCAAUGAUUGAGACUUGAGUGGUCAGUAGCAGAAUGUGGAACCUAGAAAGUUUAAGAAAGCACAGUUAAAAGGUCACCACUCCUAUGAUUUUCUUGAACUGCAAAAUAACUACAGAAUGACUAACUUUCAUCCAAGUCACACAGAAAUAGACAACAUUUAAUGAAUUGAAUAAAACCAAAUUCCUAAGCUCAGUGGCCUGUAUUAUCCAUUUUGUUUAUCAAUAGUAGGUUUUUUGGGAAACAAGUCGGGAUCAUAUUGCAAAUGUUAUAUUUUAACACUUUUAAUAUGAAUGCAAUAGUUUAAAAACUUUACUACGGAGGCCAAAGAUAGUACAUCUCAACUUAGUUUCUAAUUCACCUGAGAAUCAUCACCGAGUUAUACUGAAGAAAAUGUGCUGAAAUAAGUUGAAAGUAAAUUCAGUUUUAUAGUUCAUGGACAAAAUGAACGUAAAUUCAGUUUUAUAGUUCAUGAACAAAAUGAAAGUAAAUUCAGUUUUAUAGUUCAUGAACAAAAUGAAAGUAAAUUCAGUUUUAUAGUUCAUGAACAAAAUGAAAGUAAAUUCAGUUUUAUAGUUCAUGAACAAAAUGAACGUAAGGUCAUGUUGCUGUAUUUGAGCUGAUGCAGAAUUUUGGGUUUUUUAACAGUUGCUGAAAUGUGUACAAGUUAUAAUAAUAUAUAUAUAUAUGUGGUGAAGUUGUACGAUAACAAGCCAGACCGAUGAGCCAUAAUCAAAACCCUCUACAGUUCACUUUGCUGCUGCCAAUGAGGCUUUUUGCCAAUACCAGAACUUGUCAAGUUGGCUUGACCAUAAGGUAUCCGUUGAAACUUCUUGUAUAACUAGUGUGUGAGAUAAUUUAUUUUUGGUUUCAUUCUAAUAUUUUUUUGAUUGCAUAGUUUCCUUUCACUCCCAGCUGCAGCUGUUGGAUGUAAGCCAUAAAUAAGACACGUUAUUCUGUCUUUAUCUCCUUUACUCUAUUGCCAGUUAGUGGUACUACUAACACAGAAAUCCUCAAAUGAUGAGAAACAACAGUGAUAUAUUACACCUCCAAAUUAAACUAAAAGUAAUUGUUUCUGUAUGUUGAUAAAACAAGCAUGCUAUAGGAUACGAUAUAGCCCAUAACAUACAUGAAGAGAUCGAUCAUUAAGAAAGAUACUGCUACGUAAAGAGUAAUUAUUGUUUUCUUAAACAACUGUUGCGAUACAAGUGGUAUAACAAACUUUGUUGUAUAUUAAUCUAAAAUAGAUUUUAUUUUAAGAAGUUUCCAUUCUAAGUGUAUUACUUUUUUGUAUUUGAGCUUGUAAUUAAAUCAGUUUAAAGACAAAAAUUCCAUAAAAAUACAAGUUUCUGAUAAAUAAAUAAAUAUACAUCUACAUUCCUUAUUUUACUAUUCGCAAAGAUAAAACAAUCUGAAAUAAUUGUUGAUAAUGUUUACUCUUAAAUAUAAUCAGUUUAAUUUUUUCUAGCCUAAUUUUCUCAUAUUACAUGUGUAAUUGGAUUAAGUAGCUUUAAAAAUCCCGCUAGAAAACAGGUAUUUCUUAUUAACAAAGGAAAGAACAAAAUGUUAUAAUUAAAAACUGUAGUAUUACUUGAUUUGUUCUAAAGUCAUUUUAAAAUUUGAAUUCUUUGUGAAAUUUACGUCCAUUGUGUUAACUAAUUGUCAGCUUCUCAAGUGAAUGAAAUAAAUUAAACAAUUCCCAGAUUCUCUCUCAUUUUAGUGAACGUUUUUUCAAAAGAAACAAGUUUUCACUCUUGCGUUGUUUAAUUUUAGUCUUACUUUACUAAGACACCCAUUAAAACAUAAUAACUACAGAAUAACCUGCAGGUUUUAAAAGGUUAUACAUAAUAAUCACUUUUGUAUGUGUAUAAAUCUUUGUUUCUUUAGGUUUACUAAAACUUUACUUGUGCACUUUUAAUUUUAAUAACCUGAAAAUAAAUUCUGAUACCCUUGUAUAAAAAUAGCCUUACCAUUUAAGUUUUAAUCAACUUGAACUGUCUAAUAAACUCUUGGAACACCAGUGACCUUUAAAACAUUUUGGGAGAAUAAUACCAACAUGUAUAGUUUCAGAUUUUUUUGUCAUGGGCGACACUAUAAUAUCAGAUUUAUUAUACAACAAGAAUCGAAAACAUACCACUGAUCAAAAAAUAAAA
rnacentral:lncRNA from 1 species